CCAGCAGCCGCGGUAAUUCCAGCUCCAAUAGCGUAUACUAAAGUUGUUGCAGUUAAAAAGCUCGUAGUUGAAUUUCUGGUCUCAGACAACGGUCUGCCUCAAACGAGGUACGUACCAGUUGUCUGAAUCCAUCCUCGGGGAAAACAUAUCUGUCAUUAAGUUGAUGGGUAUGGGAUCCUCGUCAUUUACUGUGAGCAAAAUAGAGUGUUCAAAGCAGGCUUAUGCCAUUGAAUACAUUAGCAUGGAAUAAUAAGAUAGGACCUUGGUCUAUUUUGUUGGUUUGUACUCCAAGGUAAUGAUUAAUAGGGAUAGUUGGGGGUAUUCGUAUUCAAUUGUCAGAGGUG
rnacentral:rRNA from 1 species